AAGCCGUACAACUAAAUCAUUCGUAUAACCUCACAGAUUUAAGCUUGAAUAGGGUGAGGGUCUCUACGGGAAGCCUAACUUCCUAACUACGAAUAUGCGAUCAUUUCAC
rnacentral:ncRNA from 2 species